GAAGGUCGAUAGAAGCUUGAGCACACCUACAAGACAGACAAGGGUGAGCCUUAGGAGGAUACCCCCUUCGAACUCCAACCCAACUCAGAACAAGUCGCGGCCACGGUUCGAUGGAUCAGGCUCGAGGAAUCCUUGAGGUAGCAUUGAGAAAAGCAAUUUAGAUGAGAGGUGAAGAGUGGAUUAGACAUAGCUCAUGUAACAUACUUUUAAAUGCUUUAGAGUAGUUCUCUGUUUUGACCACCUGUUGUAUUCUCCGACCUGCAUUGUUCUCUCUGCAUCUCUGCUUCCGAGAUCACAGAGAGUUAACAUAUUUUUUGCUUCA